rnacentral:rRNA from 1 species
GAUGAACGCUGGCGGCGUGCCUAAUACAUGCAAGUCGAGCGAACAGAUAAGGAGCUUGCUCCUUUGACGUUAGCGGCGGACGGGUGAGUAACACGUGGGUAACCUACCUAUAAGACUGGGAUAACUUCGGGAAACCGGAGCUAAUACCGGAUAACAUUUGGAACCGCAUGGUUCUAAAGUGAAAGAUGGUUUUGCUGUCACUUAUAGAUGGACCCGCGCCGUAUUAGCUAGUUGGUAAGGUAACGGCUUACCAAGGCGACGAUACGUAGCCGACCUGAGAGGGUGAUCGGCCACACUGGAACUGAGACACGGUCCAGACGCCUACGGGAGGCAGCAGUAGGGAAUCUUCCGCAAUGGGCGAAAGCCUGACGGAGCAACGCCGCGUGAGUGAUGAAGGGUUUCGGCUCGUAAAACUCUGUUAUUAGGGAAGAACAAAUGUGUAAGUAACUGUGCACGUCUUGACGGUACCUAAUCAGAAAGCCACGGCUAACUACGUG